UACGAAGGGAGCAAGCGUUGCUCGGAAUAAUUGGGCGUAAAGGGUGCGUAGGCGGUUCUUUAAGUAAAAUAUUAAAAACCUGAACUUAAUUUAGGAAGUGUGUUUUAUACUGGGGAACUAGAGUUUAGAAGAGGAAAUUGGAAUUUCUCAAGUAGAGGUGAAAUUCGUAGAUAUGAGAAGGAACACCAGAAGCGAAGGCGAAUUUCUGGGAUAAUACUGACGCUAAGGCACGAAAGCGUGGGGAGCAAACAGG
rnacentral:rRNA from 1 species